CUCAGGGUUUGUGAGUGCACCAAUCCACACUCCCUAUCUAGCUGCUCUGGUGGGGCCUUGGAGAACCUUUAUGUCUAGCUCAGGGAUUGUAAAUACACCAAUCGGCACUCUGUGUCUAGCUCAGGGUUUGUGAAUGCACCAAUCAACACUCUGUAUCUAGCUAUUCUGGUGGGGCCUUGGAGAACCUUUGUGUCCACGCUCUGUAUCUAGCUAAUCUAGCGGGGAGGUGGAGAACCUUUGUGUCUAGCUCAGGGAUUGUAAACGCACCAAUCAGCGCCCUGUCAAAACAGACCACUGGGCUCUACCAAUCAGCAGGAUGUGGGUGGGGCCAGAUAAGAGAAUAAAAGCAGGCUGCGCGAGCCAGCACUGGCAACCAGUUGGGGGUCCACUGCCGCAGUGUGGGAGGUUUGUUCUUUCGCUCUUUGCAAUAAAUCUUGUUACUGCUCACCCUGGGUCCACACUGCUUUUGUGAGUUGUAACACUCACUGGGAAGGUCUGCAGCUUCACUCCUCAAGCCCGGGAGACCGCGAGCCCACCGGGAGAAACGAACAACUCUAGACGCGCCGCCUUAAAAGCGGUAACAUUCACUGCGAAGGUCUGCAGCUUUACUCCUGAGCCAGCGAGACCACGAGCCCACCAGAAGGAAGAAACCCCGAAUACGUCUGAACGUCAGAAGGAACAAACUCCAGAAGCGCCACCUCAAGAGCUGUAACACUCACCGCGAGGGUCCGCGGCUUCAGUCUUGAAGUCAGUGAGACCAAGAACCCACCAAUUCGGGACACAAUACCUAUAAUCCCAGUACUUUAGGAGGCCAGGGCAGGCGGAUCAUCUGAGCUCAGGGGUUGGAGAGGAGCCUGAACAACAUACCGAAACCCCGUCUCUACAAAAAAUACAAAAAUUAACCGGUUGUGGUGGCCGGUGCCGGUAGUUCCAGCUAGUGGGGGACUGCGGAGGUGGGAGCUGAAGCGGGAGGAUCGCUUGAGCCUGGAGGUUGAGGCUGCAGUAAACAGGGAUUGCGUCAGGACACUCCAACCUGGGGAACAGAACGAUGCCCUAAAAGGCUGGCUGAGCUGACUGGAGUCCAAUCUCCUGACUCUCAAGUCCCCGCAUCAGAGGAACACAUUGUUUUCUUGGGAAGCCUUCAAGAGACAGUCAUGCAUGGAUGAGGAAGCUGAAGUGCAAAGACAAGAGAAGCUUUCUGGACCAGGAAAUGGCAUGUGGGAAAGGACACACUCCUGGGAAAGUAGGUUGUGUUGAUGGACAAUGGGGAGGGGCUCCUUUGAAAGGUGUGGGGAAGUAACCUGCUCAGAUUGUUUUUAGGAGAAUGACAGCACAGUGGUGGAGGAGCCAGACUGAGAAGGAACAAAAGGCCAGCAACAAAAAUAAGGCUCCCUUCCAACUUCCAAUCACCACGUGCUCCUGUCAUCUCCCUACCCCACCCUGCAUCAGCUCCCAGGAAGGGAGCUGAAACUCAGGCCUGCUUCUGUGGGCACCAAAACCUGACUUAGUACGUGAUCCUCCCUUCCAUCCUCAUCCCCAUAGAUGGGCAUGGAGAAUUAGUCCGCAGAUCAAAGCCAAAGGGUGUUGUCUCAUGGCACUGAGGUGGGGGUAACCCUUAUGACUCCCAUAGGAAGCCCUAUGGAAGGGGACAAAAGCCCCCAAGGCUGAACCUACCCAGGAGAGCCAGGGCUCUGCUGUGACAUACUGUGGCCACACAGAGGAAGAGUCCUUGCCUUUCUGGGUUGGCUUCUGCUUUCUUGAAUGAUCUUCAUUUGCAUCCUUUCCUCUUGAAUAAUCCUCCCUUCACCAAAUCUAUCUAUCUACCUCCUGCAGCUUGUGUCCACUCCAAACACAGUUGACAAGAAGUCUUGGCAACACAGCCUAAAGAAACACUAAGCAAAUUGUUCCUUGUCGUCCUGACCUUUGUAAGCCAAGAGCUCUACUUUAUAACUUGGGAACGCACAAAUAUUUACAGUUGUAGGGAAGGGAGCCAAUGGCUGCUGGAGGGUCCUAGAAUUGGAAGGGAGCUGAGAGCUUGUCUAGCCCAGCCUCAUAUUCACUAUAGGAAUGCCCUCCACAGAGCCCUUGGCAGUGGUCACCCAGCCUCCCCUUCCUGGUCCCUGUGAUGGGAAGGAAGGUCAUCUUCCUCUGAGAAAGUGCUUUCUGUUGAUCUUAUCGUUGGAAAGUUUUUCUGACAUUGAGCCAGAACUGCCUCCCAGUAACUUUGCCCUUGGUUUUGGAUGGGUCUCUAGGGCCUCACAGCUUGGGUAUCUUCUUUCCCACGACAGCACGUUAAAGGCUAGAACUCAGCCUCCCUGUCUGCCUUCCGUUGUCUGUUCUUCCUCAGUUCCUUUGUUCUUUUCUUGGGGGCCUUCAUUCAUUGGUCCCUCAUCACUGGGGUCACCUUUCCUUGCCAUGUCCAACACAUCCUAGUUGGUCAAUGUCUGUCUUAACAUACGAUACCCCCAAAUUCAUCACAGCACUACAGUUGAAUUGCUUUCUAAGAUCUGAGCCCUGUGCCAUUAAUUCCUCAUCUCUAAAACUCAGCUUAGCUAUCCAGGCCAUGUAAGCCAGAGAAGAGGGAAGGAAUGAAGUCUUCUUGAACCCCUGCAAUGCUAGCCAAGUUCUUUCUAAACACUCAGGGCUCAGAACUGCCCCAGGAAGUAGAUACUCUCCUCUUUGUUUCACAUAUGGAGGAACCUGGUUUUCUGACAUAGAACUGAAAAUAAGGAAGUAAGCAAAACAAGUCUUUAAGGACGCUGAGCAGAGGCCAGAAAGUCACCCGGAGUCUAUUAUUUACUCUUCCUUUACAUUCAUUUCUGCCAAGAUUUUAUUUAGUAUCAGGAGAACUGAUUUUAAAUCCUGGCUCAGCCACUUUCUAGCUGUGUGACCUCAGGAAAGUUAGUGUCUAAGGUGACUAACCAAUCCCAAAUUGCCCUGGUCUGUCCUGGUUUUAAAACCGCAAAUCCCAUGUCCUAGGAGAUCACUCCAUUCUGGGCAAAUUAGCACAUGUUGGUCACCCUAUUCAGUCAAUUUUCUCUUUGUGAUAUCAGGAUAACAGUAACCCACCUCACGAGGUUGUUAUAAUUUUAACUGAGAUAAUAUAUUUGGAAGACCUGGCAAUGUGCCUGGCACAUAGCAGAUACACAAUUAAUGUUCUGUUUAAUUUGAAAGCCUAGUUAAUUAUGACAAAUUAGAAAGAAGUCAAAGACUGAGAGGUGGCCAUGAGCAGUUUAACUGGAAAACCAUUUUUAAAAACACCUAGAAACAUAAACGGAGACACAUAGUAGAGGGUCGUACCGUGAGGGUCUCAAUGUCCUCUGUACUGUGAAUAUCUCACUGGAGUUCAAUGAGCCAUGGUAAUUGUCGUCCUUGAGUGGGACUCCGCAGGACAGAGGAAUAACUAAAUCUUCUGCAUUAUACUAUGUGUGAUAAGGCAGGGUAAGGUGGGAUACAUUGUGGAGUAAGUGCCACAUGAAAUUUAAUGAAGUCUUUAGAUCUUUAAGCGUAAGUAUUCAACCCUCUAACAGGAUGGCAACCAACCAGCAUGGCAGAGGGAAGGAGGACUGAAGAGGGUCCCAGGAGAGCCUGAGUCUGCAGUCAGCUCACUGCCUAACUAUAGACAGAUUGUCCUCACAGUUCCGGUCCUGUCUCCUCAUCUGUGAAAUGGGGAAGAGAAAGUAGACAAGGUGUUGUCUAACAGAAAGGCAACAGAGUGGGGUGGUCAAGAGCACGGAUCCACCACCCACUAGCUGUGUGAGCUAGGACAAGCAAGCAAAUCCACCCUCUGCACCCUGCUCUCCUGGCCUGUAACCUCGUAGAGAUGUUGUGAAGAUUUUAUGAACUGAUGUACUUCCUGGUGCAUGUUGAGUUCUCAGUAAGGAUCAGUUCUUAAAGUUAGUAUCCCUUCUGGGUAUCGCACUCCAUGACAAAGAGUAUCAUCUCUUUCUCUCCCCUCAUCACCAAGGGUUAAUGCAACAUAAGCUUUCGCUUGAGUGUUUUGUAAGUUUCUUUUCCCUCCCCAGCCCGCCACAUCACUCAGCUGGCUCACGUUGAACUUGAGGCAGACUAAAACCUCCUGAUCUUUUUUUAUGUGAAUUGCAGUCCAGCCAGGUUGCUCUCAUCCUGUUCUUGUGCAACUGAUUUUUGGAAACUACAUUCAAGACAUUAGAUUUAUUGAUGCUACAUUUCAUCUGGUUGCUUUUGACCCAGCAUUCUUGACUGUCGAGAUCAUCUUGAACCUUAAUUCUCUCAUCCCCUCCAGCUUUGAGUCAUCUGCAAAUUUAAUGCAUAUGCUUUCCAUAUCUUCAGAUCACGGGCUUAAAAAAGCUAUUUUACAGAUAAAAAUAAAGAUAGAGAUAUAGGCCACUAGAUAGAUCAAGAGGGAUCUUGUAUGCCAGGCUGAGCAGUGGGGAUUUUAUCUUGUGGGAAGCAGGGGCUCUUGAUCCUCAAUCAGUUUUUAAGCCUUUUCUGAACAUACCCACUACAGACGCUCGUAUGUUGUCCCUGGAUCUCAGAGUGUUUUCACUGAUGACAACAAGAGUUCACCCCUCAGCCACCCUAACUGUGGCCUCUUCUAAACUACUGAACUCACCGCGAAGGUCUGAAUCCCUUCCUGUCUGUACCACAUGCAGCCCCAAGGCCCAGUCCUAUUCUCCUCCCUCUUGUUGCUUCCCAAACUGAGGCCACCCCUACUUUGGGGCCUAGCCAAAUACCUGUUAUCAAUCCAAGAAAUCAAUUCUCUCUCGUUGGUUCAGGAAGGCAUGGACCAUGAUGACUUUAUGUGCUUCCCACUCACGUUUCCAUUUUUACAGGGGACUUCAGUGUCUGAACUGGAAGGCCAGAGCUGUGGUGGAUCUGCUGGUAGCCACCUAUAGCUGUCUGGAUCUCUGCACUGCCCAGGGCACCACGGGCAUGUUAUAUCACAGCACAGUGCAACCAGCUGGUUCCUGGGCAUGACUACAAGUCGUUAUGAAAAGGCUGAGGACAAGAUGAUAGGGAAAUGUGAAAAGGAAAAUUCUAGAAGUAAUUUUCAUAUAAAUUAAUUUAAAUAACAAAAAAAACAAACAUUUAAGUUUCUCCAGGUAAUCUGGCAACUCUCUGGUACUGUGCUAACCAGGCAACCAUUGGUUAGGGAGCUUCCAAAACUCCGUGUCCACUCCAGGCCCCGCUCCAGCCAUCUGGCCAAGCACACUCAGCUUCAGGACACAAUGAGCAUAGCCAGUCCCUCUUUGAUGUCCUUGGUACCAGAACCUUCCCAUUUUACCCCACAGGACUCCCAGGAUUCCUUUCUAGGGAAGAGUUUGAUGAUGAUGAUGGUGAAGAUGGUAAAGAAGAGCAGUUACCCCUGAUUGAGUGCCUUCUGUGUGCCAGGCAUUGUGCCAGAGCCUCUAAACAAACCAUCUCUAAUCUUUUCAACCUUACGAAGCAUAUUUUUUGUGAUUCCCAUUUUAUAGAGGAGUAAACGGAGGCCCACAGAGAUUAUAGUAACUUGCCUGUGUCCACAAGAAAUAGCAGAACUGGAAUUUGAACUCUGGGUUUCUCUGAUUCCAAAGUCCACUGUAUCCACCACCCUGUUUCUGUAGCUUUCCAAAAGCUCCCACUGUUAUUUUCUCUUUUGACCCAAACAGUCUUACGGGGGUGAUAGGAAGCUGAGAUGAGCAGAACUCUGCCCGUUGCCGAGGCAAAGUGCAGUCAGUAGGCUCACAGGCUCACUGGGGUGGAACUGGACCUGGUACCAGCCUUCUGACUUGUAAUGCAAUGCAAUUUAUCCCUGUGUUGAUAUCCUGAUCGUUGGAAGGGAGCCCAAGGAUGGCUGGGUGGGGAAGCUUUUGCUUUUGGGAAGGUAGCGGUAGCAGGUGGUGUUAAAGGGAAACUGUAGUAAUUGUAUGAUGGCUAAGCAUGGAGGCUCUGGAAUUAGAAAGUACCAGGUUCCAAGGGGCUCCAGCCUCUACUACCUGUGUGAAGUUGGGUAGAUUAUAUUACCAUCGUGAGCUGCCAUUUACAAAUGGGUUAAUGAGAGCUCUUCAGUGAAAUACUGAGUUGAGAGAGAGAAUUUACACAAAGCCAUCGGCACGGUCCAGGCACAUUUCCAGUGCCUAACACACAUCGGCUCGGAUUACCAUUUCUUUUUUUUUUUUGAGGCAGAGUCCUAGUCUGUCACCCAGGCUGGAAUGCAGUGGCACGAUCUCAGCUCACUGUAACCUCCACCUCCCAGGUUCAAGCAAUUCUCCUGCCUCAGCCUCCCUAGUAGCUGGGAUUACAGGUGCCUGUCACCAUGUCCGGCUAAUUUUUGUAUUUUUAGUAAAGACAGGGUUUCACCAGGUUGUCCAGGCGGGUCUUGAACUCCUGACCUCAAGUGAUUCACCCUUCUUGGCCUCCCAAAGUGCUGGGAUUGCAGGCAUGAGCCACCGUGCCCAGCCUAUCGCUAUUUUUCUUACCUCUGUCGUUACAGCAAUCUACAUUCGUAAAUGUUUUCAUAAGUGCCCUUGACUUGCUCAUCCUACGUGGAGGCAUUAUGUCCCCAUUCUACAGACUGGGCAACUGGGCACUGAAGCUACCUGCCCAAGGUGAUCCAGGAAGGACUGAGCAGAGCUAAGCCUUGAGCUCCUGACCCCACGGUGAGCUCCCAUCCCCAGCAUGCUGCAGCUGUUCAUCUUUCCUGGGUCCAGUUUCACAUUUCCAGCAUUUCUCAAAUGUUAAUAUGUGUCUCCAUUACCGGAGAUCUUGUUCACAUGCAGGUUCUCAUUAAGGAGGGCUAGGCGGGCCUGAGGCUCUGCAUUUCUGGCAGUCCUCCGAGGGAAGUCAAAGCCGCUGGUCAUGGGGCCUCACUGUGGUUGAGGGUCUCCUUCAGCUGGUAGGGGUCCCUUGAGCAGGCUCAGAGAAACAAACGGCAAGCCCUGCGGCCCCUGGGACUGGGACCUGCAGGAGCCCUUAAAGUUAGCUUCUAAGUGUGGCCCCCAUAGGAUGAUACUAAGGAGAUAUGGGAUUUGGGAGCCACCUCCUAGCAGGGUUGCCAGGGCCGGCCCUGCCCUCUUGCUCACCAUCUCCUUCUGCUUCCUUCUGACUGCUUCCAUGGGAGCCUGACAACUACAGCAAAGCAUUCUUGAACUCCCACGCUGAGCAGGAGCUACAUGACCGGGUGAGUGUGGGCAGCCUGCAGAGAAGGAGCUGACAUUUGUCUUAAUUGGAGUUACCAUGUAAAUCCCACCUGUCUCCUCCUGGUGCCCAUGGCCUUUGAUGGGCAGGGAAGGGGGCUCUGAACAGAGAGAGGCUCAUAAUGUCCCUGGGGAUACAAGGCGUUAUUAAUGUAGGCUCUGGAAGGAGAUGUUCCCACUUGUCAGCAGGGAAAAUGAGCUGGAAUUGAGUUUAAAAAAAAAAAAGAGAGAGAGAGAAAGAAAGAAAAAGAACACAGGCAUCUAGGCAAGAAGAGUGGCAGAACUCCCCCCAGGGCAGAUACCCUUCUGCCCCUCCCAUGGGUCACCCCUGUCUUUCAAAACCAGCCUCUAACCCAGAGGUUUUCAAACUCAGCUACCAAUCGUCACCUGGGAGCUGUAACAAUUGCUGAUGUCUCUGCCCCAGCCCCAGAUAUCUUUAUUUCAUUGGCCUGGGGUGUGGCCUAUGGAAAUUGGGGUUUUUAAGCUCCCAAGUGAUUCUAUGUGCAGUGGGGUUGCAAAACUGCAGGUUGAAUCUUAGCUUCUCCAGGAAGCCACCUCUGAUUAGCUGAUGCUAAUCUAUGAGCCCAGUGGAACUGUCACCUUUUCUAAUCAGCCAGCCCUGAUGUAUCCAUACAAUUGGAGGGGGAUGGGGUGAAAUAACCCCCAUUAGUGUGAAUUGGUUGAAGAGGACACAGAAGGAUGUAGGAUGUACCUUCUCAUUUCUCUGAGCUUAACUUCCAAAUGAACAAGCAUUUGCAGCUGCUGGACAGCCACAAAAUCAAUUCACUCAGUCAUUUAACCAACAUUCAUUGAGCACCUAUUAUGGAUAAAGAGCAAUGAGAGAUUCACAGCAUAUUUGAUAUAGUCUCUGUAAACCAAAAAUAAAAUUCUAAGUCCCCUAAAUGACGGAAUGGAGCCCCCCUCUUCACCAAGGAGACCCCAAAGAAACUUGAAAAACUAAUUUUGGGAAUGACAGGAAGCAGGGAUUGGACAUACCUCAUUGUAGCCCCCUCUUUUUGGAGUUUAG
rnacentral:lncRNA from 1 species